rnacentral:rRNA from 1 species
UAGGGAAUCUUCCGCAAUGGGCGAAAGCCUGACGGAGCAACGCCGCGUGAGUGAUGAAGGUCUUCGGAUCGUAAAACUCUGUUAUUAGGGAAGAACAAAUGUGUAAGUAACUAUGCACAUCUUGACGGUACCUAAUCAGAAAGCCACGGCUAACUACGUGCCAGCAGCCGCGGUAAUACGUAGGUGGCAAGCGUUAUCCGGAAUUAUUGGGCGUAAAGCGCGCGUAGGCGGUUUUUUAAGUCUGAUGUGAAAGCCCACGGCUCAACCGUGGAGGGUCAUUGGAAACUGGAAAACUUGAGUGCAGAAGAGGAAAGUGGAAUUCCAUGUGUAGCGGUGAAAUGCGCAGAGAUAUGGAGGAACACCAGUGGCGAAGGCGACUUUCUGGUCUGUAACUGACGCUGAGGAACGAAAGCGUGGGUAGCAAACAGG